AGAGCAAGAGCAACACAACUAUAACUUAUUGUAUGCAUUUCCCCCUAAAAAGACAAAAAGUAGUCUUUCAGUGCAGUAACUGUGCCUAAAACCUUUGAACAGUACUUGAUAAAGAAUUCCUGAUCUCAGGUUGGGAAUCUUCCUCUCGCAGUGCAUCAGACAGAUUUCACUUGCACACAGUAGUGAUGUGAAUGAAGAAAUAUGCAGUUCCAAACAGUGCCAAUAAAAAAAA